UCUUUUCCCUUCCCCUCUAAAUUAUUCUCCUCUACGGGUCUCUCUCCCUUCUCUUCGUUUCUUCAACCUCCUGCAAUGGCUUCCAGGUUGAUUCUCAAGGACAUCAAAGCCCCUCUCCGAUUCCUUCUCCGCAAUCCAGCUUCAUCCGCUCCUUCUGCACAAGCCAUCCAAAAUCUCCUCCUCCCAAUUCCAAGGCAAUCUCCACCCGUAGUCCUCCCCCAGGUUUGUACUCGCGAUCGGCCGCAACUAUCUGGGGUUCUCAAUUCUAUUGUUGAUGGCGGAUUUAGGAUCGAGGUCAGAGGGCAGCAGAAGCUGAUGCAUGACGACGACGACAAUAUGGAGGUCGAUAGUGAUUCCGAAACCGAGUUCUCUGAUGAGGACGAUGAAUGUUAUGACACCGAAGAUAUGGAGCCUCAAGAUGAUGAUGAUGAUGAUGAUGAGACUUGAAUUGAUAUGUUUGAUUGUUGCUGUUUGAAUUUCAAUUUGGUUUCAUAUAAUCAUCGUUUGGUUUCGAUAUAUCCGUGAAAUUGGAAAUUCCAUAUCCAAAUUGUUGAUUUUGAGUUUGAAUGCAACUUUGAUCAUGGGUGUUCGUUUUUUUUUUUUUCCUAAGAACUUUUGAGUUCACUAUAUCCGAAGUUUAAAUACCAUUUUGAUCGUUUGUGUUCAUUUUUGUGUAAGAAAAUUUUAGUUUUUCAUGUACUAUUGCCAAUGGAUUCCUAUUUUAAUACACCCGAAAAGUAUAUAUCUUUUUAUAAUUUGACCUGAAAAUCAGUCUAUGUAGAUGAAACUGGGAACAUUGAAAUUUUACAAUAUAUGUACAAUUCUCUAAUCAACGUACAAUCCAUGAGAAAGAAAAAAGAAAUGAGAGGAAGAAGAAGAAAUUAAUCUAAGCUGCAACACAAUUACGGCAGAUGGGGCACGUAAAUUUCUUGCUAAACCAAACAUCAAUACACUCCGAAUGAAAAAAAUGAUUACACUCCGGCAACGCCUGACAAUUUUCUCCGAUCAAAAACUCCUCCAAACAUAUCGCGCAUUCCUCCUCACUCCUCCUCCUCACCAUUUUCUCGCUCCCAAACCUCACAGUCGGUGGCAACGGCAACUUCUCCGCCCGCUUCAACCUCCGCUCCUCCGCCAUUGCCGCCUCCACGUCCUCACCGCCUCCUCCGUUUCGCCGGACGUCGAGGAACCACUGGAGGAAGCCGCUGAGGACGUGGAAGAGGAAGAGGAAGAAGAGGAUUAUGGAGAAGGAGAAGAUAAUGGAGGUUCGAAUGUCUAGCGUUACGGUGUAGUGGAGGACUGGAGGAGAUGGAGAUUCAGGGACCAUGGUUUCCAUGGGGAAUAGAAGUGUGAGUAAUGGAUCUCCCAUUGUUGUGAAGCUUUUUAAGUUUCUUUGUAGAGGCUAUGGAGGAUGGUGAAGAAGAUGGUGGAGAAGGAGAAUAGAGGAAUUAGAGAUUUGGAGAUGGUCAGUUUAUAAAGCGUUUCCCUAAAAGAAGUGUUUGGAAUUUCUCAACCAAUCAUAUCUAAAUAGUUUUAAAAACAAAUUGAUUGGAUAAUUUCUAAAUAAGUUUACUAUUUACAUCAUUUAAUGUCGAUAAGAUUAUUCCUCUUUUGGGUUAGUUGUCAUCUUAAUCCAUCCAUUCUUCUUACUCUGAGUUCAUACUUUCUGCCCAAAUUUCAUUACAAGCUUAAUAAUGUAUAAUCUACAAAAGUCUAAAUCUAAUAUUAUUAUCAUGUUGUUGUGAAAAUUUUAAAUGGUAAUUAACUUUGUAUGUAUGAUAGCAGAAAUUUGUAUCUUUUCAAAUUUAUUAUUUUGUUAACAUUAACUAAAUUGGAAUGACUUUAUUUAGAUAAAACUAUAUCAUAAAUAUAAAACGUUUGUAAUUGUUGAACUUCACCACUUCAUCAAACAAAUUUUGGCUGGGAAAGAACUGUAACUUUUUAAAAUAUAUUUUAUAAUUAACGUCAUCUUAUAAAUUUUGGGAAAAAAAAACUACAUUUUAAUUGUUGACACAUUAACUAUAUAAUUUUUACAUUAUUAUUAGAGAUUUUUCAAAAAUAGGAAAAAGAAAAAGUAGUAAAUAUUUUAUGAAUUUGUGUGGAUAAUUUUUAGUUUUAAUAAUAAAAGUGACAAUUAGUUUCUAAAUGGGAAUCGGUAACGGUGGAAGAGAACUCAAAAUCAAAGGGACUGCUAAAAGCCCUAAAAAUCAAAAUUUUCUAAAACCCUUACCUUUGCAUAUCUCCUACUCGUCGCCCUUCAAUUCAAUUCAAUGGAGGCAGAGGAGGCUGUUCAACACUAUCUUUACGAUACCCUAAGCCCACUUUCCUUCUCCGCCAUCACAACCACCACAACCGGGGACCAACUGUCGUCGCCCGAUGUUGACCUUGAGCCCUACUCUGUUUUCCGCAACGAGAUCUCUCUCUCCACCCCCGACUGUGCUCCGGCUGAGACUGCAGCAACCGAGUUUUUUGCCCUUGAUGUAGCUGCCGACAAGGGGGAAGAAAAUUCGGGGAUUUGUUCUUCUCCUUUGCCUGUUACUUCGGCUUUGGAAACUGAGCCUAGGACGCCGGAGUGUGAGGAUCAGUCGAGGCUUGAAAGUGGGUGGUUCCGUGGCAAUAGUGGACUCAAGAGUCCUAUGCUACAGUUGCAUAAAGGUAAUUGAAUUUGUGUUAACUGUGUUUCUCCGACUGUUCUACGUGCUAUCCGAAGUGGUUUCGAUGUAGAAGUUUAUUUCAAACGGUUUCUCACGUAGCUGAAUUAUCUCCUUGACGAUUAGAACGUGGGUCUGUAUUUUUGUUUUAUUUUAACUUUUCAUUGUUUUCAAUGGACCGGCGAUUAACUACCUCGGCAGUCUCUUGUUUGGUUAUUGGGCUUCCUGGUUCUAAAAACUGUCCUUAAUUGUUUCUUUAUCAUGCACAUUGCCGAUUCUUUUACUUAAACUUGGUGAAACAUACUUGGUAACUAUUGAACUUGGAACAAUCAAGCCAUGUCAUUGUUUCAGAUCACUCCAUAAAAUAUUCUAAUAUUGUUUAUAUCAUUAAAUUCAUAACUUUGUUUAUAUGCAGAAAUAGUUGAUUUUUGUGAGUUUCUAUCUCCAACUGAAGAAGAACGCGUUGCACGUGAUAGUGCAGUAGAAAGGGUUUUUAGUGUUGUCAAACAUAUAUGGCCUCACUGUAAGGUAUGAUUGGUCCCUGCUCUAAUCUUGUGGCCUCUGUUCGUGCCUAAGAGAACAGCAUUAUGUAUUUAUUUAUUUAUUCUUCUGGUUUUUCUAGGUUGAAGUUUUUGGAUCGUUUCAGACAGGGCUUUAUCUUCCAACCAGUGACAUUGAUGUGAGUUUCCGGAUCCAUGUAUUAACAUGUUUCAUGAUUUUCAACUCUUAUUAGAAGAUGCUAUACUACUAUCUGUGUGUGUUGGUGGUUGGUAUUGGUACUCAUUGGAGCAUUGGAAAGAAAUUACCGUGAGAGAAGAGUAGGGGAGAGUAAUUUUCUUGAUAUGUUUCAGAGUGGUCUGUGGUGUUGGGAAGGGAAUCUGCCCUAGAAUACCAAUAUUACAUUCAAGUCACUGACAAGGUUGAUCCGUAAUAGAGUUAAGACUAAAAUCAGAGCCAGCUGCAUGGUUAUAUGGUGUAUUUGGGAGCAAUUCUAUUUCAUUUCUUUUCUUCAUCAUGCUUCUUCUUCUUUGAGUGUUAAGUACAACAACUAUUUCUAUGACACUGGCUAUAAAAAAGGUAAGAAAUAUGGAAUAUGUAGUUCGGGUACAUUGCAUACAAACAGUUGGUGGGUGAUGACAAAUUUAAUAUAAUAUCCAACACUCCCCCUCACUUGUGGACAUGAAAUAUCAAGAAAUAUCCAACAAGUGGAAGCCAAAAUAUUAAUGGGGAAAGAAACAAAUAAAUGCACGGGCUUGAAUAUAGGAUCUUCUUGGACCAGCUGCCUGCUUUGAUACUAUCUUAAAUCACUGAUUGACCCAAAAGCUUAAGUUGGUGGGUGGUUGACUAAUUUAAUAUAAUAUCUAAGAGUUAGUCCUGAAGUCAAUGUGAAUCUUUGAUAGUUUGGUCUUCAUCGUACAUUUGUCUAGACUACUACAUUUGACUCUGAAAUUUAGGAUCUACGAUUUCAUCUUUAGUGGAAUGAUGAAAACUUUUGUAUGUAAUUGGACCAUCCUCUUCUUAUUUUUCUCUUUUCUAUGGAUUGACUAGAAAAAAUAAUUAUCAUAUGGAACUAAGUGGUAUGUCUUAUUGGAUACAAACUAAUUUUUACAUCAUCAGUAAAUUCUUGAUUCUAAUUUUUAAUUAUUUUUUUGUAGGUUGUUAUUCUGGGUUCAGGCAUCCCAAAACCACAACUUGGUUUGCAAGCUCUUUCCAGGGCUUUAUCGCAAAAGGGAAUAGCAAAAAAGAUUCAGGUAUCUUUUAGUGAUAUUUUUUGUUUUGGUCAUGGUUUGAUCAGGAUCUUCAUUGACUUUACUCUCCAAAUCUCCUAUGUUAUCAUUUGAGCAGGUUAUUGGAAAGGCUCGUGUGCCAAUAAUUAAGUUUAUUGAAAAGCAAAGUGGCAUAUCUUUUGAUAUAAGGUAUAAUGUUAAUUUUUUGAAUUACUAUUGAAAUUUACGAAUUUGUUUAAAGAAAAAGAGAGAUCUUGCUGCAAAGUAAAAUAAAAUGUGUACUUAAAACAAGAUUUGCUUAAGAAAACAUUAAGAAAAUUCUGUAGUUCCCCCUCUUCCCAGAAAAAUACAGCUGCUGAAAGUGAUUAAGAGAAUUAACAUCUUAUCUCUUGCUCAACAGUUUUGACGUGCAGAAUGGACCAAAGGCUGCUGAUUUUAUAAAGGUGUGUUGCUGUACUCCCUUAAAAUUAUGGAAUUUGAUUGCACGUGAUUAAAUAAGUUUGGGCUUGAAUACUCAAAUUAAAUCUUUACUUUCAAUUUUCUUAUUGUUUGAUUGAUUUUCUUUUUGAAUUAUAUCCUCGUAGAAAAGUGGGAUGGAAUAUGCAUCCGUAUAGUUGAUUAGAAUCUUGGAUUGGAAUAUUUUGCACAAAAACGAAUGUUCACUUCCCUAUUGUUCAACGGCUUUGAAACGUAUGGUUUAUCUCUUAUUGCUAAUGCUUUUCUGCUUGCAGGGUGCAGUCAGCAAGUGGCCUCCUCUGCGUCCUUUGUGUUUGAUCUUAAAAGUGUUUUUGCAGCAGAGAGAACUGAAUGAGGUCUGUUUUUGCUGUGGUUUGCGGAUUGGAACUCUUAUUGUAGUUAUCAUAUGGUGUGUAUUAGUCCAUCCGUUACCUUGAAUUUUUUUGUGUCUAAUUCAAGUUUCCUGUAAGGUGUGCAGGUAUAUUCUGGUGGACUAGGUUCGUAUGCACUUCUUACCAUGCUUAUGGCAAUGUUGCAGGUUAGUAUAUAUUAGCCUCACAUUCUGACUUUAUAGGUCAUUUUUUUCUACCACAGAACAUACGUAACAUCUUUUGUCCUUAAAUGAAAAAAAUCAGAGUAGAAAUUAGGUGAAGUGAGAAAUAUGUUUGCCGAUCUUUCUUCAGAAUACUGUUAUCAUCUUACAGGAAGAGCAUUUGGUGUAACAAUAAUAAGCCACAUUCGUUCAGUGAUAGUUUACAGUCAGCCAUUUUCCUUUUAAUCUUAUCUGAUCAUAUUCUUUAAUUUUCUUUCAAUUAUUGUAGAGUAUCAAUGUGCCGCCCUCUUCUCUUGAACACAAUCUUGGAGUCCUUUUGGUAUGUUUUUCAAUUUCUCUUUCUGAAGUACCCACUUGCAUUUAUUGUGAAAUGUAUUUACACAGAGGUGAAAUAGUGCGAUAAUUGUUUUAUUUUCUGAGUUUCAAUAGUUUAGCUAUUGCUGCGAUUAGUAUUAUUGGUAUAUAUCCUUUUAGCCAGCUACUAUCCCAUUCAUCAUAUAUCAAUUUAUAGAAGUUAGCCACUAAGACUACUCUUUUCUUCUUUUUUAAUUACCCUUCUACUGGUAGGGUACUUCUUCCUGUCUUCAGUCUUUCCUUUGCAAUAUAUUCUUUUUUUUCUUUUCUGCAUACUUAGGGAGAGAUUGUGCUCUAGUAUCUGCAUCUUUUCCUAAACUGAAGAGGAGAAGGAUUCCUUUAUUUUAUAUUAUCUUAAUUUUGGAAAACAGGUACAUUUCUUUGAUUUUUAUGGUCGCAAAUUGAAUACAUCUGAUGUUGGUGUAUCGUGCAAUGCGGGAGGCAUUUUUUUCUCGAAGAGUUACAGAGGGUAAAACAUAUAAAAAAUAAUAUGAUGAAUUAACAGUCCAUUCUCAUUUUUAGUCAUCACAUUUCACUUGCUAUAUUUGGCCUCUCCCUGAGUUAUUAUUUUAUUUGGCACCAUUGCAGAUUCAUGACCAAAGGACGCCCAUGUCUUCUUUCCAUUGAGGAUCCUCAGGUUUAUUUUCUAGUUCCAACAUACUACCAGUCAGGUUGAAUGGGCAGUUUGUGUACUAUUAUUGUAGAAUAUAGCAUCUCAACUCCCUUCUAUUGCAGUUUAACUUGUGGACCAAAGGAUUUCUAAUCUGCUGAGCUAUAUGUAAAUAUUUGGAAUUUUAGAUACCUAGAUUUAGAUAGGGCUAAGGGUAGUUAGUCACAUAAGGCAGUUAGAUGGUUAUAAAUAGGAAGUUGGGGAAGGAAGAAAGGGGGGGAGAUUUUGGUGAGAUAUUGGGCUGCAACAUUCCUUGAAAGAGAGGAAGGGCAGAGGGUUAGGGUUCUUUUACUUGUUUGCUAUUUUACUUCUUUUUUAUUGUAAUUUCUGUUUGAGAUAUUAAUAAAAUAGAAACACUAUAUCAGUGUUCUAUCAUAGGUCUUAGAGAAUUUACAAAUGAACAUUGUCUUUAGUUUCUCAGCCUCAAUAUGAAUUGCAUGUUGAAUGCAUCUUCAGAUUGUUUUGAUUUUUCUUUUAAUCUUUAAAUUGAUAAGUUAACCAUUGAGCAUUCCUUGCAUUAAGUAAUGUAGAAGGCUUGGAGAUAUUGUUCUCCAGUUUCUUCUUGUCAGUUCUUUCUCUGAUGUGAUUUAUUGAUAUUUUCCAGGCGCCUGAUAAUGACAUCGGCAAGAAUUCUUUCAAUUACUUCCAGGUUUGUUUACCAAUGAUGUGUUUCUACAGUCUGUUACGCCCCACUCCGUCUUUGUUUCUGAUAUCUAUAACUUAUCUCUCAUGGUCACAGAUAAGAUCUGCAUUUGCAAUGGCCUAUUCAAUCUUGACAAAUGUCAAGACCGUUCUCGGGCUAGGUCCAAACCGGAGUAUUCUUGGAACAAUAAUCAGACCUGAUCCGGUCUUGCUGAAACGAAAAGGUGGCAGACAUGGAGAAGUGACCUUUAAUUCUUUACUGCCUGGAGCAGGAGAACCUGUACAACAACCAGAGUAUGGGGAUGAUCAAGAGAUGCUGUGUAAUUGGCAGUUUGGUGAUGAGGAGCCAUUGCCUCGAGGGAACGAUACACCUGAAAAUGUUGGUACACCUUCCUCUAAAAAACAGAGAAAAACUCGCGAGAAGUCCCGAAAGAAGGAAAAAGAAAGCCAUUCGAGUAAGCGCAGGCAUGAAGACAAUGGAUCCAGAAAAGAGCAGAGUUCAAAAAAGAAACGAUUGAGACAGAAUGACAGUGAUGCCAAUGGUUUGUGGAAUGCUGGCAGAAGGUCUAUUUGGAGUCGAUAAUCCAUGCAGGGUCUGACCAGUCCAUCGAACUUGUGAUCUCCACAAGAUUGAUCAUUUUUGGAUUGACUAACACUUGGCUCAAACUUGUACGGCAGGGUAAAUUCUCAACUAACAGUAUUACUACAGGAAAGAGAUAUUUAUGCUGGCCAUCUGCAGCUGAUGAGAUGGUCUCUGCGACUGUUGUUGGAGCUUGUACGUUUAGACACAAUACUCAACCUGGAGGUGGAGUGGCCUUGUUCGGGUAAAAUUUUUGACAAUAUUCAUUUAUGAUCAUUCAAUAUUUUAUCAUUCCUAGUGUCUGUUUUCGUUUCAUAUGUAUCUCUAGAAGUAUAAAGAAAUCAGUGAUUUGUUAUGUAUCCUCUAGUGAUAGUAAUAAAUCAUUCUUACUCCAUUUUGUUCAAAGACAUGGAAAAACUACCAUGUAUUGUAAGGUCAAUCAAGUGUUUACGAGGCUAAUCAAAAUGAGUCUGCCCACUUAGCCAUGUUCAAUGCCAUUGAAUCUCUCAUUGCUUCCCUCCACUUUUAUAAGCCACAGGGAAGUUUUCUGCAUUAUUGUAGCAUGGAGUUUUUUUAAAUACCUUGUAUUGAAGUUGGACCUGUAAAUUAUAUAGAAUACCCCCAAGCUUUGGGUAGGUUUCAGUAUUGGAAUCUGAAAAUCUGAAUCAGGACAAAAGGGCUAACAAAAGCAUAACAGAUGGUUAGUUUUUGCAAGGAAAGAAGCAUAAGAUACAUCAUAUUUUAUAUAAAAAAAGGUUGGAUUGUUUCUUUUCCAAAACACUAGAAAUGGAAAAGAAUGGUGAGACAUGGAAUAGAAAUAUGGACAUCACCAGCUUUUACCCACGUUUCGAACGUUUAAAUUGAUAGCAACUCUUGGAACACGUGCUGAGGAUCCCUAUAGCUUAAAAAUAAAUUUGACACCUUAUAAGUUUAUUAAUUUACUUGCAAGAAAAUUGAUUAAAUAUUAAUUAUAUUUUACUGAAUGGAUAUUAAGUUAGAAAUUCAUUGCUUCAAGGAUAACAGGUGAUAUAUUGCAUGAAGUGUGACGAUGAUUCAUUCUUGAUAUUAUGAUAGCCAUGGUCUUUAGUUCUAUAUAUUAUAAUACACAAUUUCUAGUAAACCUAGUGAAAACACCAUGCAAUCAAGGUAAAUACACUUAAUUUGCAAACAAAUGAAUGCAAAUUUUCAUUGCAUAAAGGUAAAUACACUUACUUUGCAAACAAACGAAUGCAAAUUUUCAUUGCAUAAAGAGAUAUAUAGUUUUGGUGUUGUGAGGAAUAUGAUAUUUUUGUUAAGGAUUGGGAGAGCAAUUGGUAGGAAGCUUCUUCUUGUUCAAUUGGUCCUUGAAAUUUAUGCUCAUGAACUCCAAUCAUGAACAUGUGGGACUCCAAGCUAAUGAAUUUAGGAAACUUCCAAGAAACUAAACCUCAAGCGAUGUCUCAAUCAUUGCUCAAAAGAAAAAUCAAAAAAAAAAAAAAACAAAGAGUGUAGGUAUUUAUCUAACGGUUUUUAUUUUCAUUUUAUGAAUGACCGUGAAAAAUAAUCUUUAGUUGUAAAAAUUUCCAUAAACUGAAUUUAACGUGUCACGCUUGUUGCAAGUUAGUAUUCAUAAAUAUUAUUUUUUUGAAUGACGGUGAAAAAUAACUUUUAGUUGUAAACUUUUUUAUAAACUAUCAAUUUAACAUGUGCCACACUCCUUACAAGUUAGUAUUCAUAUAUAUUAUUUUGAUAUACAGUAAACAAGAAAUGGAGGUAGUUUGAUUUUUAAAAACAACAACAAUAAAUAACAGGUGAGAUCUAAAUUAUAUUUACACUGCUCUCAUAUAUAUAUAUAUACAUUAUUAUGAAGAGACCAUAACAAUAAUAAUAAUUUUAAAUAUCAAAAUGCAUUAUUGGUCUUUUUAGUUUGGGGGGUUUGGGAAAAGGAAGGUGUUAAAUGGUCCAUAAAGUCCCUACAAUAAUUAGUUUGUUCUUGAUUUGACAACUUAUAUAUAAUUAACUAUGAAUUAUUUUUCAAAUCUCUAGAGAGAAAAAUACUUUUAACAUUAAUACUCAAGUGUGCACCGUAUUUAAAAAAUAUUGAUAAAGUUAUCAUUUACUGCAAUUGACAAAACUUUUAUUGACAAUAUAAUCUAUCAAUAACAAAUAUUGAUAGUUUAAUAUUAAUUUUGCUAUAUUUAUCGUAAUUUGUAUUAUGUUAUAUUUAUAAUUAUUAUUAGCCUUAUUGCUAUACUUAUAACUCAUCUAGAACUUUGGUAGAAUUUGUCUGCUAUCUUCCCUCAUUGUUUAUUGUAAUAGUUUUUGAAAAAUUAAAAUUCUAUAUGUAGGUUGUUUUGGACGAUUACAUCGAGAUUCUAUAGAUUUUUUCAAAUAUUUUUAAAUUUUACAAAAAUAUUGUAUUAAAUGUUGAUGUGAGAAUUUGAACACGAGACCUCUAGUCCAUAGAAACAUACGGGUAUCAGUUGAGCUAAGUUUAUGUUAGCAAAAUAGUUCGAUGAAAUUUAGUUAUUUUACCACGCACUAUAUCUAAUUUUUAGAUUGAAUAAGAUUUUGAUAAAAUACUUGAUAAAGAUAGCGAAUUAGUAUGAGAUUAGAUGUGGAGAAGUCUAAAACAAUCAAUAAAUAAAAAGAAAAGAAAAAGGAAAACCAAAUUUUAUUUGUGACCAUUUUAUUCUUUGAGAAUGAUGGAAACGUCAAUCAUAUAUUAUUUUUAACUCAAAAGCUGACACGACAUCGGAAAUCGAAACACGUAGGUCUCACGCUCCUCCCAUGGAUAAUAUCAAAUGUGGAUUAAGUUUCGUAUAAUGACGUGUCGCCUUAUCACUAAAAUAAACCCAAAUUAAAAUAAAAUAACCUUUUCAUCCCGUCAAGUCACCGUCAUCCUCCUACGUUAAGCCCACUUAAGUUACUGGGGGCCCAUUGCUCAACUCAAAGUCUCUCACAACCACCUUCACUUCUUUUUUUAUUAUUAUUUUCAUUUCAACGCCGCUUCCCCCUUCCACCGCCGCCGCCCACGGCCACCCUUUCGCCGCCAUAGGUCGGUGUAUUAUUUCUUCUAUGAACCCUAUUUAAAAAGUCUUCAUUAAUUAUAUUUUAUUCUUCUGCAUUUGUUAAUCAUAAUUGAAUUUUUUUUUUCGUUUCUCUAAAAGUACAAUCACAUGUAGAGAUUUGUUAUAGGAACAAUAUCAUCAAUAACUUACUAUAUGAAAUGGAAGUUUAUGAGUAAUUGUCGUAAAACAAUAUCGAAAAAAUUUGUACAAAGUUUACUAGAAGAAUAAAUGAUGAAAAAUUAUUAUAGAAAAAGCUACCCUAAAAUCAACAGAAAAAAAAGAGAUUUCGACAUUUAAAUAGUCGUAUCUCUUUUAAAAAUUGGUUUUAAUUUUUUACUAUAUUAUCUUACCUUAUUUCAUUCAUGCAUGAAGUCAAGUUUGGGUACAUCAAAUGAUCAAAUAACUUUCUUACAGUUACAAAUUUCUUUUUUGAAAAAUAAAAGUGUGGAUUGUUUUCUUGUAAACUUUGUAUAAUAUGUACACUUUAUAGUUCACUGAGUAUGAACGAAGACAAUUCUCUUUUAAUGACCUUUUUAAUAAACAUCUACUAUAAACUUAAAAUUAUAAUCCUGUAUAAUUUUUAGGGUUAAAGCUAAGCGUCUCAUUUAAGCUAAAAAUAAGAUGAAAUCAAAAGCUUAAUAAUUUCAACUACGACCUUAUUUGAUAAAAUUUGGCUUUAUUUAUUUUACCUUUUUAAAUAUAGCAUAAUAAAUUAAAAUAUUUAUAAAAUAUAACAAAUAGAAUUAAAACUUUUGUCAUAUUUUACCUAUAUUUUCAACAAUUUUUUUUAUUUACAAAUCAUUUUUGUUUGUUGUUCAUCACGAUAAUUAGAAUAUUGCUUCGUUGAAAAAUAGGCAAUACAAAUAUAAUAUUAGCACUAAAUUGUAUUUUCUAAAAAUAAGAUUACUUAGGAAUGCUCCUAAACCCAUAAAUUGUAUAUUAAUUUUAUCCCAACAAAAAUGUUUAGUUUGAAAAGGGACAAAAUAUAUAUAUAUAUAUAUAUAUAUAUAUAUAUAUAUAUAUAUAUAUAUAUAUAUAUACCAUCUCUCUUAGAAAACCAAAUGAAAAAACUCAUUGAUCCAUAGAAUAAAUUUGCAGUACACUAAAAUACAAGAUGAUGGGACUUUUUUUUUGGUGAAUUAUAUUUCAUAAAUAUAAUGAAACUAAUUUAAUACCAUGUGCUGAAUUAAAGUAAUGUGCAUGUAUGUGAGCAUAGUGAUGAAUAUAGUAUAGACUUGGAAGCUUAUAACUUUAAAUUUGAUUGUAUUUAUAUAUACAAAAUGAUCAAUCCGUUUUGUAGACCCAUCUUUCUUUGGCCACAAAAUUUUUUUUUGACACAAAGAGUUGUUGAGUGAGUUAAUUAAGGAAUAAAAGAGAGGUUUAUGAUGAAAGAGAUUAACAAUGAAAACAACAAACUAAUUAUAGUGGGUUUUAGAAAAAGCAAAUGGUUUAAUUGUCAAAUUAACUAAAAUAGGAGGGUAAAUUAUAAUUAAGUCUGUUGGGGCCUGGGGGGGUUCGUGUAAGAAAACCGCUUAAUUCGGGUUAAUAGUUUUAAACCGAGGCCGGUCCGAGCCUUUUAGAAAAAGGAGAAAACGAAAAUUAAAAGCUGGAUAAAGUUAAACCGGACGCGCCGACACGGUCCUAAAAACUUCUAUACAACCACGCACUUUACAUGUUUCGUUAUAUACACGCGCCAAUUCUCUCCUUUCUAUAUAAUUCCCAUUUUCCCCUUCGUUUCUUUUUCUAUCUCUUUACAUUUGUUCUUCCUCUAAUUCUCUCCCUCAACAUUUUCUUGAUUUGAUUUACGUCCGAGAUUGUCGUACCAUACCUUUCAGUUUCUUAUUUAACGGUGAGUGUUUAUUUUUUAUUUUUUUAUUUUUUUAUUUUUAAUGUUGAUGAUUUCUUAAGUUACGUUUCGUUUGAUUCUUUGUUUGAGUUUUUGUUAUGAUUUUGAUGGAAAUGUGUCGGGGGAAUUGGGGUUUUUGUUUGAAUGAAUGGGUAUUUCUUUGUUUAAGAAAACGAGCCCUGGGUUUUGAUCUAUGGUUAUUGGGCUUUUGGUGAUUUUGUUCUGACUUCAAUUUGAACUGCUGCCCUUUUCUUAUUUCGUUGUGAUUCGAUCUGGGUUGAUUUUUCGGAGAAUUUUUAUUUUUAUGGCGUUUGGUUUGUUUCCCUUUUUUGUCUUUUCGCCUCUAGUUUUUCAACUUUGAAAGUUUCGAGAUUUCUUCUAAAGACUUGCUUCCGAUCAUACACGUUUCUCUCUGUUCGCAAUUUGGAGGAUAAGUAUCGUAAACUACAAACUGAAGGGGUCGAUAUUUUAAAUGUCGAUUUGCCGUUUUGAUUGUUAUUUAUUUGGGAUUCUUGCACUGUUGCUCUGCAAUUGGUUACCAUCUUUUGCCCAAAAAGAAAUGUUUUUCUUUGUCUCUUUCUUUAUAGAGGGUGUUGUGAGCCACGAUUGUGGUUUGAGACACCUGGUUUUUUUAUGGUCUGAGUAUUUUGUAUUUUGCAUUCAUUGUAUGAGUUUGUGUAGAAGUUUCUCGAUGCAAGUCAUUGGUAUCUUACAUUCAGCAUUGAUCCUCCCAGGUCUUGUGUCUAUUGAUCGACCCUUGAAUCUUUGAUAUCUGUGUUUUCUUUUAAGUUUUCAAUCCUUUUGGUCUCUUUGCUAUAUAAAUUGGGUUAAGUUGGUAGUGGACAGAACAGAGCUUUAGUUUUGUAUACAGUUGUGAAAUCCUGUUCCUUAGUUCUUGUUUUCUUUUCUAAAACGAGAGCCCUCCAAGGAAACACUGCCAAAUUCCAACAUCAGAAACAAAAUUUUAAAAAUUAAUCUUUUAAGUUUUCAAUACUUUACUUGGAUUUUGAAAACAUUCCUACAAAAUCUAUAACAAUAGAUAACAAAACAAAGAAUCUCACUAGUGUAACUAAUGUUUUUUUAUCUUAAUUUUAAAAAACUAAAUGAUUAUCAAAUGGGGCCGUUUCUAAAUGUUUCAAUAUUGACUACCAGCUGUUGGUGGUUGAAUAUUUGAUUUUUAUUGACUUUAUCUAAUUAAAGUGCUAUUUAGCCUCUCGAUUAGCCUCCCUGGUGAAAGUCCGUUGUUUGAUUAUUCUUCCUUUGUGUGGAAGCUUCUAUUCUUCCUUGAAAUUUGUUUUGCAUUUUUGUAAUCCCUUUUUCUUUUUUCUUUUUAGAAAACAACUGGUAUAAGAGGUAAUUUCAUUGUAUUUGCAUUAUUGCAAAUGGGGUUAUUUGUAUGUCCAAAUUGGUAUUUGUCUAUAAUGUUUUUCAAUCGUUUAUAGCAGCUGAUUUUAUUCUUCAAGUUACUUAUUUUCCAAGAAUUUCAUUGUCUUUUUUUUUGUUUUUCUUUCUUUUUAAACAGAACGCAUACUCUUUCCAUGGAACAAAACUACUCUGUACCUGAGGCAUACCUAGAGUCUGAACAAGAUGUCUCUCUCAAGCAAAACUGGAAAUCUAUCUCAACUCAGUCAACAAUAUCAGAAGACGCAAACGGUUGCUUUGAUUGCAACAUUUGCUUAGACUCAGCAGCUGACCCUGUUGUCACCCUCUGUGGUCACCUCUACUGCUGGCCGUGCAUUUACAAAUGGCUUCAUGUUCAAAUCUCCAGCAACGAACCCGAAAACACCCAGAACUGCCCUGUUUGUAAGGCUAGCAUUACACCCUCCUCGUUGGUUCCGCUCUAUGGGCGUGGCACGUCGAACUCAGAUUCUGAAUCCAAGAAAUCUCAUUUGGGUAUGGCUGUACCCCGAAGACCACCACCGUCAAUGAACACACCAUCCCAUUCCAAUUCAUCCUCGACAUUGUAUCCUAGCCAGGAGCUUCAUUCAAACUAUAUCCGGUCGCCCUCACACCCUAUCUAUCACCAACAAUAUUUCCCCCAGGCCACCUAUGGCAACUUUGCCUCGUACUCACCAUCUUAUCUUGGUAAUGCCGUGAUAACGAGUCUACUAAACCCAACGAUUGGGAUGUUUGGAGAAACAGUUUUCACUAGAAUAUUUGGUAGCGUGGAUGGGAACUUAUUGCCAUACUCGCCAUACAACAACUCAAUCUCAGGAAAUGCCAGUACGAGAAUGAGAAGACAGGAAAUGCAGCUUGAUAAGUCUCUUAAUAGAGUUUCCAUCUUUCUAUUUUGCUGCUUUAUUAUAUGUCUUCUGUUAUUUUGAAGUUGGGAAUAGAUGUGUGGAGAAGCAUAUGAUGAUAUACAUACAGGUAAGCCAGCUAGAAUUUUGGUAGAUGACUUUACUGUGAGAAGUCGUCUAAUAUGUACAGAAGGUUAAAGCUAAUACCACAUAUUGUUUUGUAAUUCCUUUUGGUGCUCUGUGCGUAUUGCAUGUUUAUAAUACUUCUCUACGUUUUCCCACCCCUAGAAAGUCUAAUGAUUCAUCAUCUCCAAACAAUAUCAAGUCUAAUCUGUUUUUCCCCUAGACAUUGAUAUAAAUAUCAUCUUAUUAUGUGGUUGUACAAUUUAAAGCUGAAAAUAAUUGAGUUGGGUUCAAGUUGUGUACUCAGUUCAGUGUUUGAAUACAUUUAACUUUAACCUUCAGCGUUAUAGUUUGAAGACAUUUUAAAAUGUGUCUAAGUCAUUAAAGUUUUAGCUGUAUAGUAUAUGAAAUCUUUAAACAUUUCGUAUACGUAAAGAGGAGAUGCAUUUCAAGAUUAAAGGAUCUUUAAAUUUUCCAGUUGGGUGUGCAAUGGUAUUUUCUGGUGACCCCUUUGUGUGUCUUCGUGUAUCCUUGAUUUUUGGUUUUUAUGAAGUUUGAUUUUUCCUUUUUUUGACCAACAGACAAUAUUGGUCUACAAAAAGCCUUCUCAGAAUUAAACAAAUUUUAAAUCCACAGAAUUUGGUUAAUCCCACUAUUUAAAAACAGUGAUUGUAAUGAUUAUUUUCAUAAUUAUUGAUUAUGAUGACUAAACAAUGAUUAUGCUCUUCACUACCACAUUCAUGUACUCUCGUUUUCUAUAUAGUUAAUAUAUCUGUAAUAAACGUGUCAAUUUUUAAUUUCUUCCAUUUUAGAAUAUUAUAUUUUAAUCGACAAAUUUCCUUUUCUAUCUCAGUUAUAUAUUUUCAUAUAAAUUUAUAUUUAAAAUCACAAAAUGGCAUGAAAAAAGUUUUUUUAAAAAAAUUAAUAUUAUCAAUGGCUUCUAACAGAUGUUUAUUUAAGAAACAAAAUCAAAUUUUGUUUUAAAUCUUUUAGAAAUGGAAAGUAUACUGAAUUUGAAAUAACGUUGUACAUUAAUAUUUUGAAAGUUUAAUUAAUUGGGUCGUUGUUUGUUCAUUUUUUAAAAUCAUUAUAUAUUUUCUUAGAUGUUAUCACUUUUUUUUUUUUAUAUAGAUUUUGAAAAAUAUUUCAACCCUAUAUUUUCUUGAAUUAAAAUAUUAUUAUCAUCUAGACAAUUAUGAUUAAAAAAAAGUAAGUUCAAGAGACUAAAUUAUAUAUUUAUUAAAAUUACAAUAACUAAAUUUGACAAUUAAAACACUAGACUCAUCAAAACAUUGCAGUCUAAUAACUAAAAUAAAUAUGUCAAUUUGAACUAUGUUCUUUGGUAAAUGUAUCUAUUUAUGCACUUCAUUAUAUUUUGUUUGGGAUUAUAACUGUAUUUGUAUCAACUAAACCCCUAAAUUUUUAUAACUAAAUUAACAUAGAUGCUUAAUUUGAAAUUUCUUGAGAACCACCUACUAAUCAAUUUUAAUAAAUUUUUUUUGACUUUUAUUACACAUUUGAGAUUGAUGUAUAAUUUUUAUAUAUAUAUAAUGUGCAGAACCAAAUUUCUAAAUUGAAUUAUAAGUUUCACACCAUAAUUAUUCAACAAAAUCUUAAAAAAAUGUAGACAAUUUUAUCAUCUUAGUCUUCAAAUUUUAAUGAAUAAGCUUGUUUGAUUGUUGAGUUUUAAAAAUAUGUUUUUAGUUCUUGGGUGUAUAAAAAAAAUAAACAUUUUUUAUAACUUUUUAAAAAUGUCAUAUUUUUGUAUAUGAGUUUUUAAAAAUAGGUUUUAGAAGAGUUUUUAAUUUAAUUUUUUAAAGGAAAAAUUGUUAUGGAUGACAACAACAUUAAAACUAUUUACAAUAUAUAGACUAUAAAAGUUUUGAUGAAUUUUGCUAUAUUUUGUAAAUAAUUUCAAUACUUUGCUACUUUUAAAGUUUCAAUUUUUAAAAUAAUUUAUAUGAUAUGUAAAAUAAGAAGAAAAAAAAACUAUUUGAGUGAUGAUAUGAUUUUGAUAAUUUCAAAGCUUAUAUAAUGAUUUAGAAUAAAGAAUUUUUUUCACAGAAUAUUUACACCAUAUAUGUGACAAAAUCAUACAAAAUUAAUUACAUCAAUUUUUUUUGUAUGAAUUAUAAAUAUUUUAUUUUUGACAAUUUUUAUAAAAAUAAAAUUAUUAAUAAUUUGAACAACUUUAUUCUUAAAAAUUCGGAAACAGAAACGAUAGCAUUUGAAAAUUCAGAAAGGAGUGUAUUCUUGUAAAGAAUUUAAAAAUGGGAUCAAACUUUUUCACUCGACCCAAUGUUGUAAAAAUUUGAAGCCAAACUUCCUUCUCUUUAACCCUUUUCUCUUCUUUGUUUAUUUUUAUGUAAUAGAGCAUAUAGUGGGGAAAUGAAUCCAUAAAGUACACAGCUUUACCACCCACCGUUGGAUGAUCUCUAUGGUGGAAGUCAAUAAAAGAUUUCCACAACAUCGACGGUGAUAGAGAAACAACAGCGAAAAACCGACAAAGACCGUAGAUCUUCAGACACAAAUGUCCUUGUCAGCUUUGUGGCGGAAUAAUCAGAGUUUAAAUCAAUCUUAUAAAGACUAAUUGUAAUAUUUGAGUUUUAAUAUCAAUUACUCCCAUACCGGCUUUCUGGCUUCGCACUCGGCUGAGGCUCCACUCACAUUUCCCUGUUCUAGAGGGGAAAAAACUCACGCCCAUCACAAAUUAAACAUCUUUAUUCCAAUUAUUCCACUCUCUUUUACUCUCACAGAUGUCUUUAAUUCAUUCAAUUUUGUGUCUUUCUUUAGUUUGUUAUCUAGCUGAGCCUUUUCUUGAAGUUGAAACGCUUCUCUAAGACACUACAGUAUCUUUGUCCAGAAGUCCCAAAGCAAAAAAAAAAAAAAAGGGGGGGAAGAAAAACUUAGCAGAAAGAUUCCAAAUCUGAAACCCUUUUCUUUGUUGCUUUUCUAUUCAGACUGUAACCCCCAUUGAAGCUAUACUUUACCCUCAUUCUACUGCCUUCCUGAAGCUUUACUUUCUUUCCUGCAUUUGAUUCUCUCUCUGUUUCUGCUUGGAAGGGGAAACCAGUGUGUGUGAAGAUGAGGGGUCCUUUAGGGGCAGUGAUUGGGAGGUACCCUUCAAGUGAUGGAAAUGCCCAAAUGGGUGGAAUUAUCAGGCAUAAUAGAAAGUGCAGAGAUAUUGUGUUUCUUGUGAUCUUUAUUGCUUUCUGGGUGGGGAUGAUUGUUAACUCAAGCUUUGGAUUUAACCAAGGAAACCCAUUAAGGUAUGGAAUCUGAUGAUACUCUCCUCUUUUACUUCACAUCUUAAAUGAGUACUGUUAAUUCUUGCACAUUUUCUUUUCCAUUCAUGGAGGUCCCAGAAAAAUCUCUGAACUGCUUUCCCAUUUUGCAGAUUUCCCUUCUCCCUUCUCAUUUUCUCUAUCAUCUUCAUUUCAACUAAUUUCAAACUUCUUGCUCUAUUAACUUCUGCUUGUUAGGAUGAGUUCUAGCCUGUCUUGUGUACUCUUUUGUUAAUAUAUCUGGCUAUGUCAAUGUAUGGUCUUCAAUUUUCUUUUACUUAUCUCCCUGUUUGCCAGUUUCGCAACCUUUCCUACUGUGAUUAGAACUGGUGGGUGCAACUUUGGAUUGACAUAUGGCUGAUAUUUUUUAACGGUUGGAAAUAUCAAGUCAAUUUUCCUAUGUUUUUCACACUUUAUGUACUACUUCGUCCUUUCAACGUGGAGUUCUACUAUAUCAUCACUACCCACCUGGCAUUUUCCUGUGUAGUAUAUUGUAUAAACUAUCACUCAAUGUUUAGCUAGAUAGCUGCCGAUGGUUUCAUUGGGCCUUCUUUGUUUUUUCCCUUUUCCAAUUUGAAGGAGAUUUUGCAUGUGGGUAGGAUGGGACAUUUCCAUUUUCUAGUUUUUCAUGCUCUCCUUUCUUUAUAAGCUUGUGUGAAAACUGAUAACGAUGAAAUUUACCCUGCAAGCUUCAUUCGAAACCCACUGAACUGAAGAACCAAGUACUUCCUUGCCCUUUGUCUUGCAUCGUCCCAAUAACUUCCAUCCGCCACGGUUGUUCCAUUCAUCCACACUGUGAUAUUGUUGAAUAAUUCUUAUUUAAUUUCUUUCAAUAGUAACAAUUUGAUGAUCCCAAUCCGUAUUAAUUGUGGAGGAACUAAAGUUAGUCCUUUUAAGUUUUAAGUCAUAAGUCACAACGAGUUGGAGUGUAUUCAUGAGUGCUUCCAAGUGUAGUAUUUUGAAAUAAAAAACUUUUUGGACUAGCUCAUUUGACAAAACACUAGGCAUUUAAAAUGAAUUUUUAGUAUUUCUGGAAAUCCUGAAGUAUGCUUAGAUAUGUAGUAAAGUUCUUUGAAGAAUAUCAAAAGUCAUGUAACUUACCCUUUUGCUUUCUUUCUGCCAUUAAAUUCUUGAAAUUGUAACAACAGUUGCUUGGUUGUUCCCUUUUCUACUUAAUGUUUACAUUCUCCUUUUCUUUGUUAAUUAGCCUCAUUUGAGUUGACCUUUGUGCUACCGUUUAUUUAUCAGGCUAACAUAUGGACUAGACUACAAAGGAAAUGUCUGUGGUGAUAAGCAUGCUAAUCCUGGCCUUCGUGAAUUGGAGCUUAAAUAUUGGUUGAAUCCUAAUCAGGUUUAUCAAAGUGGUUUGAAAGACAGUCAAUUUAAGUUGGCAGAUGCUCGGAGUAUAUGCUUGAUGGAUUGCCCGACUCCUUCAGAAGAUUCUCUAAACUGGGUUUGUGAUUAUCCAGAAGGUGAAAUACGCCUCUCAAUGGAUGAUUGGAUAGACAGGAACUACGAUUACUUCGAGUUCCUAACACCUGAGAUGAGAAACAGCUCUGUUAACCUUCAGGGUCCUUGUUACCCUGUCAUUUUUCCUAGUGUAAAUGGUAAGUAAAAUUGAUCUAUCUUCAUGGUAUUGUUAUUUUCAAACCUUUUAAUCUGGUAUUGAAUGCUUCACUUCUAGAUUCUUUUGGAUACAACAAAUCUUUCAAGCUUUUCUUCUUGGGUUACAGCAUCUAGUGGUUAAAGGGAGACAGUCUCAAUCAAGGGCUCUUUUUGAUUGUAGGGCAGAUGAGUUUUUUCAUGAGAAUAGUUCCACAAAUAUUAACAAAAAAAGAUUCACUUUAAAAUUGAUUUAUUCAAAAAGUGAUUGACUGGUAAUCACUUUGUAGAAUAAGAAGUGCAACCAAACUACUUGUGAUUUUGCAACCAAAAACAUUUUUUAUGAAAGUAUUUUACUAAUUUUUUCUCCAUAAAAAUUGUAUAAAUUAGAAGGUUCACCGAACUCACCCUUAGAAUGAUGUCUUUCUCAGUUUAUUGGAGCUGCCAGUUCCUUGCUCGCCCCUCAAAUGUGUCAUUAACACAUUGGAAAAUGAUGGGUGGAAUGAACAUAGAUGCAGAUUUGAUCAUUGAUAAAUCUAUUCAUAAGUCAACCAACUCUCGGUCAUCUGUGUUAAAGGUAUACUAGAUUUUCUUUUCUGUAAAUUAUUCUUAACCCUGUUUCUAUAAUAUAUGCAUGCAUGCAUUUAUCUUACAAAAAAUUCACUAUUAAAUCACAAGUCUACUUAUUUAGUAAAUGUAAAGUGUCAUAUAAGCUCAAGAGCUUCAUUUUGAAAUUGCAAGGUUCUUUCGAAGAAUAUCCUUAGCAUCUGAACUUUGUUUGUUGUGUCAUACCGUUUCUGAAGUUUUUACUUGUUCUGUGCUCUGCUCUACUCACAGAGAUACAUGGCGGAUAUUGGGAAAUCAUGGCCAGUAUUGAUCGUUUGUGGAGGAAUUUUGCCUCUAUUUUUGGCUGUGAUUUGGUUGCUAAUGAUUCGGCAUUUUGUUGCUGCAAUGCCGUGGGUAACAGUUGUCCUAUUUAACAUUCUCAUCGUAUCAGUCACAAUGUUUUACUACCUCAAAGGUGAGGAACAUGUUUUCUCCACCCUUCUACUUGAUGCUCAAUGAUUUCAAGUUUUGAUUCCGUCAAACCUUAAAAAUAUUGAAAAUCCUGUAUUAUAGUGGAACUCUUUCAUAUAAGAACUAAUGUUUUUGUCAGACUUCUAAAAGGAAUGCAAAGCCAUUUUUAAAUGAUUCUUCUUUGCUUAUCCUUGGGAGAUUCAUCUAGUUGGAAUCAAACUUGUAAUAUCUGAUGGAAUUUCCAAAACCUCAAAUGUUGUGAAGUUAUACUAUUUAGGUCAAAGUUGUGUCAUCUUGUAUUAGCAUUACUGAUUGCAAUUUUCUUUAUUGCUGUAGCUGGAUGGAUAGGAAAUGAUGCUAUAACUCCCAUCAUCGGUGAUCAUGAUCCUUAUGUCCACAUAUUUGGAAGGGUAUGCGACCAAAUCUCGUGAGCCUUUUUGAUAAAAAAUCUCAUCUGAUUCCAAUUACUCAAUUGACUAUUGUUCAGGAGCUCAAUCAUAUGCGCGCUGCUGCUGUUCUAAUGACGUUUGUUAUGGUGGUCUCUGUACUUACAUCAAUUGCCAUCAUCCGCCGAAUCAUAAUGGCUACAUCUGUCCUCAAGGCAAGUACUAUACUGUACAUGUAUAAGUGGGAAAAAGAAUUGAUGUUGAUUAUUUGCAGUAAUAUCAUAAACUUAAGAGUUCUCACUUUAAGGAUUAUAUAGUUCAGUUGGUCUUCAACUUCAGCAUUCAAGUUUUUGGCUUUCAGUUUCAAUGUCUAUUUAUCACUUAUUUCCACCCAUUUUGUCAAUGCUCUUUUAGUUUCUGAACAGAUUAAUAUAGUAUAAUACCAUUAUUUCAUUUGAGUUUUAUACACCUUGUGUGCAGGUUGCUGCAAAGGUGAUUGGAGAAGUUCAAGCACUCAUAAUCUUUCCCAUCAUACCUUAUGCCAUCCUUGCAAUUUUUUAUAUGUUAUGGCUGUCAGCUGCUCUUCAUCUCUUCAGCUCUGGUCAGGUUGUCCAGAAUAAUUGCAACUCAAACUGCUGUGCCUAUGAUCUUGCUUCAAAACUGGUGAACUGCAAUCACUGUUGUGGUUAUAGCAUCCGUUAUACUCGUCAUAUCGACAUUGCCAUCUUUUUCCAUCUAUUUGGUUGUUAUUGGGCCACUCAAUUUUUUGUGGCAUGCUCUUCAACAGUAAUUGCAGGUUCCGUUGCCUCCUACUAUUGGGCUCGUGGUGAAACUUCGGUAAGUUACUAAGGAUGGGUUGACAUAUCCAACGAUUCUUAACUUAUUUUAGGGCUAUAGGUUCUUGCUGUCGAUCCAUGCCAACUAUCUUGUUCUAUUUGUUAGUUUCACCCUAGAAGUAUUCCAUUUAACUACUUUGGAUUUAUUUCAAGUAUGACAAUGUCCACAUUAUAAUUAUCAUUUUCACAGAAUAGUCUCAUGUCUACUCUAUAAAUUUAUCGUUCUUGUGCUUGCAAUUCUUUGAAGAUUAUUCCCUCUUUAAUGGUCAUUGUUUUUGGUUAUUGCAGCCUGAAAUUCCGUUUCUUCCAGUUUUCUCCUCAAUGAAACGGCUAGCAAGAUAUAACCUUGGAUCCAUGGCUCUUGGUUCCUUGACUGUGUCGUUUAUGGAAUCAAUUCGUUUCAUACUUGAGUCUAUUCGUCGCAAAUUGAAAGUUGCAAGUACUACGCCAGACAGUCGAAUUGGCAGAGCAGUACAUAAUACGUCUCGGUUUUGCCUGAGAUGCAUAGAGUGGAUCAUCAAAUCUGUUAACCGUAAUGCAUAUAUAAUGGUAAAUUGAUACUCAUUUACUUGGUCAUCAUUGAUUCCAAUAUAGUAGCCAGCAAAGAUCACAAUGGUGUUAGUUUCCAGAAUAAGAGUUCAGCAAUCUCUCUACCAUGUUUACUUGUGUUGAAUAACUGUUUUCCAUGCUAUCCUUGUUCAUGUAGAUUGCGAUAACAGGCAAGAGCUUUUGCAAGGCGUCUGCUAUUGCGACAGAGUUAAUCAUUAACAACAUCCUUCGGAUCGGAAGAGUGAAUGUGAUUGGAGAUGUCAUUCUGUUCCUUGGGAAACUGUGUGUCAGCCUCUCAAGUGCUCUUUUUGCAUUCCUCAUGUUGGAUACCCACAAAUACAGAUCUGCUCAUAACAAAAUUUCUUCCCCAUUGUUUCCUGUCCUGGUAAGUUCCUUUGUUCAUUUGCUUAGUUCAUACUCAUUUCGUAUAGAGAAGAGCUGAUAAAGAGGCUAGAGCAAUCAAACUUAUAAUCUUAUAUAUUUUAUUUUUCACUUUUUGUGGGAUAAAAAGAGAAAAAUAGUCUAACGUAGAUAGUUAAGAAUUUAUUAACUAAAUGACGAUAUGAUGAAUUAUUUAAUAAAUACAUCCAUUCAUAAGUUUUAAGUCACCACUAAACCCAAAACCUUAAACUAAUGGAUUACAAUAAAUUUAAUUAUAUUAAUUCUUUAACACUACUUCUCACUUGGAUUAACAUUAUGUGAGAGAAAAUGACAUCACAAGAGCUUGAAUACAUGAUUUUUUAUUAAUUGCAUAUCUAGUUAAAUCACUACUUAAGUUAAUUAACCUAAUGGGUUUUGUAAAUUUAAUUAUAUCAAUAUAGUAUCAACAUGAUCGAAGGUUUACCUAUUUCAUAUUUACUUGUGAUACCAUACCCAAUCCAAAGUAGGUUGUUUCAAUUGAGAACCCAUUAGACGUGCACUCUCGUUGUCAUUACCUAACAAUGGAUCCUUAAUUUGAAGAUCUUAAAGCACAAAAGAUUUAGUUUCAUACGUAUAAUCUCAUGGCUAAAACUGCAAAAUUCCUCAUUCAAAUCGUUUUUUUUUGUUUCGAAACAGGUUUGCUGGGGCCUAGGCUAUGUGGUUGCCACACUUUUCUUUGGAGUGGUGGAGAUGUCCAUUGAUACAAUAAUUCUUUCCUUCUGUCAAGAUUCUGAAGAACAUCAAGGCACAGCCCAGUAUGCUCCUCCUCUUCUUAUGGAGACUCUCAACGAUCAAAAUGAGAUGCAGAGACUUACACAAGGACCUCCAAGUUCAUAACCUUCAUCUUUUACUUUUUUUUUAUGCCCUUGAUAAUAUUACCAAAAUAGUCUUCACCUUCACCUGUUGCUAUCAUCUCCAACCCUUCAUUGUUACAGUUUUCCCCACUGUAAAUAAUCAAUUUCUUGGCAGUGUGGAAGUUGGGGGAAAAGUGAUAGAGAAGAGACAGAAAGGGAAUACCUUUAGGCCUUUUUUCUUUUCUUUUGGGUAGGUUACUAUUUUUGUUACUUGUUAGUGAGAAACUUUGGAUAUGGUACUACAUAAUUAUUUGCAAUGACGUUAGUUAAUAUUAUGUGAGGUUCUUUUUGUCUCAUGUUCUCUGCCUCAAGUUUUGUUGCAAUUUUUCUUCUUUUUUCUCGGUAAUUGGAGAGUAGUUUGAUAGAAGUGUCGGUUCUUUUUGGGUGCUGUACUCUAUUUUGAUUCGGUUAACUAAACAAGCACAAUCGGUUUGGUCCAAUAGAUUAUUACUUGAGAUAUGAAACAAGUUUUCUCACAACAUGAAAUGUUAUUUUUAUUUCUGAGAUGAUAUAUAACUAAAAUUAUCUUCAUCCAUCAGUUACACUUUUCUGUCAAUUGGCGUCUAACUUUAAUAAAAGAAACUUAGAAAACUAUUCUCUUUGGGUAUCUUAGUGAAAAAGAAUUUGAAACAUUUGAAGAUAACUUCCAAGUUCUUGGGGUCCAGAUUAAGAAAUUCCUAACUUAAAACUUAGAAUCUCAACUUAAAAAGAUGGUGAAUUUUGUUUAUGUAUUUUUCUAACUAAAAACUCUUAUAAAUAAUCAAAUUUACAUUAAAAAUCCCUUCCAUUUUGGAAAGAAUCUUGUUGCUUGGUAUUUCAUGCAACAAAGACUCAAGAACUACAAGCAAUAACCUCACACAAUGAUGGCCUCCGGACUCUUAGGCCAAACCGAUGCAAAUGCUAUUGUUGCUUUAGCAAUCUCUUCUCCAAACUCAACAAACUCCCCACCCUAUAAAUUGCAAAAGGCCCUUCGACUUUGAGAAGCACACAAAAGUAGUCAACUUUCUCCUCAAAAGAUAGACCAAAGUUUCAAGAAAAUGGCUGUUACAAGAACUAGUUUACUGGUUGGUCUCCUGGCGUUUCUUUGCUUAAGCCUCGGCUCUGCCAAUCGAAUUCUCAAGAACAACGAUGCUGAAAACCAACUAAUAGGUGACGAUGUGCCUUCAGGAAAAGAAAACCACCCACAAAAUUCCAACCAUGAUGAGUUGAAAAGUAUACCAACAGACAGCAUGGCAAAAAUCAGUUCCAUUAAUCCAAUAAAUGGCGAUUGUUGCAGUUAUGGCACCAAUUGUGGAAUAUAUCCACCACCGACCUGUGGAUGCGGUGGAUGCGGUGGAUGCAGUGGAUGCAGUGGUGGCGGAGGCGGUGGAUGCAGUGGAUGCAGUGGUGGCGGCGGUGGCGGUGGAAGCUCUAGUUGCCAAUCUUGCAAUACUUGUUCUUCAUGCCAAUGGCAGGGAUGUCAUGGUUGCCAGGAAUGUCAAGGGUGCCAGGGAUGCCAGAGUUGUGGGUGCCAAGCCAGCAUGGACGAUUCUAAGGUCGAACAGGAUUCAGUUCAAACGGGUGAACCUGCACCCGUGGUGACAAUUGUGCCACCAGCCAAGCCAACAGAUAAUGACAUAAAAUCCAGUGGGGGAUCAAAUCAGGACAUAAAAUCCAAUGGCGGUCUGGUUUAGAGUUUAUACCUCAUCUCAAAGAAAUGUCUUCCUGUAGCUCUCAAUAAAAGCUCCAUUCAUGGAGUUCAUUUUCUAAUAAACCGAUGAAAUAUAGAAAGUCAGGAAACACUUCUAUAAUUGGAGUCUAUACUUCCUUACAUUGUUCGGACAAUAUAUUACAUUACAGGCAGUUUCAUGUACUGUUUUCUACAAAUACAAACUCAGUAUCCUAUAAACAAAUCUCUAGGAUCUCACUCUGAACACUUCUUCGGAUUUCAAUUUUGUUUGUACUAACUUACACGGCACUUUUAUAGUUUCUUUCACUAAAGUUUGAUCCUAAUUAUAUGGUACUUCUACAGAUUUGUUUACUAGCUACGUUUUUUUUUAUCUCGGCAUAGAUGAGCUUCUUAAAGAGUUUUCGGCAUCGAAGUUUUGAGCCGGCAUUGAUGAGCUUCUUAAAGGGGCUCCGUCAAUGAAGUUUUGAGCCACAGGCAAUGAAAGAGACAGAGAGGGCUGAAGAAGGGGAGUUCUAACCGCACGUGAUGCAUCAUUAGUAACAGAGGCGGACACAUUUGCUGCAGUAGGUGGCUGCAUCUCAAUUAUGGCAUAGCCAGUUGCAGCUUUAGGUGUAUCAACAUGUUGGUUGUCAUCGUCCUCAAGUGACAUCACGGUGCUUGUUUCCGUGUGGAUUGUGGCAUCAUCAGUAAAUAUCCGGAGCCUUCUCUUCCUUCUAGCUGACUUACCCCACCCAUGGAUUGUUUCCCUUAUUCUUUGAGGAAUUAAGGCAGCCUUGUAGUUUGUUCCCAUCUGCAAAACAAAUAUGGGAGAAGGAAAUAAAACAAAGCAAAAAAAAAAGAUGAAUCCCAGUCAAUAGGUAAUGGUAAACUGCAAAUGAUAGGAUUUGGAUGUUGUCAUUAAGGUCAAUCCUUCCAUAUACUACUAACCAGAUAAAAUUUCCCAACCUUGAAAACUCUCUUUGCACAAGUCAAGAUAGAUGGCAAUAAUCCAAGAAUGUGGGAACAAGGUACUAGAAAAAAGAGAAAAAAUAUAUGAGAAAAACUCUCCGCUUGCUCCACCUCCUGUGGUGUUCUCGCACCUAACAGUUCUCUUGACUAACCAACAGCCUAUUGACAGGGGCAGUCCAGACCUCUUGGGCAUCUUGCAUUGCCAUUUCCCCAUAUAUAUUCAUGUUAUUGCUCAUCCAUAUUCCCCAAAAGUAGUGGAUGCCACUCUAGUAAAAAAUCCUAUUUUUCUUUACUACCCAAUGGCCACACGCUUCGAUACAAAGACCUACUAGGCAGAUGAAACUCAGAGAAAUUGAUGAGAACCCAGCCAAAAAGAAACUAUAUUUGUCUUAGUCUAAUGACUUAAACCAAGGACAUCCAUAAAAUAUUAAUCAAACUAUCAGAAUGUAAAAUAUCACGCCUUAGAUUACCUGAGUAACCAGUGCGUAUAGGGGCAAGGUGCUAUAGCUGCAAAGAAAUUGUCCAGCAAAACUACGAAAAAAAAUAAAAGUAAUAUUUUCAGAAUACUUAAUUUCACGCCACACAAUUAACAUGGUUAGUUUUGAAGUUUGUGAUUGUUGCAAAUUAAAAAUUCAUACCCCAAGAUUAGUCUUACAUAGACAAGCAGAUGAUUGCUAAUGAAGCAAGAACUAUAUCCAAAUUGCCACUGUAACCAAAUUAAACAAGAUAAUGGCAUUAUGGGGGGAGAAAACAAGAAGAAAGAAUGCUCUGGACUCUACCAAGAAAGGGUGAGAAAAAGUCAUGAAGUUUUGACGGAAACUAUAUAACGUGAGCUCUUGUUCUCUUUUUGGUUUUUAGCCCAUACACUUCAAAAUGUGUUGUUAAUGCCACAUGCUUCCUAUUUCAUUAGGGGGACUGUUCUUUUCUGAGAUCAAAGAUAACCAUGACUAGAGAAAAGGAAGUACCCAGAACCAGAAGAACGAAGCCAAUUCGAAAGCAUUCUGCAAGAGAAUUGAGAGAAAAAGGGAUAAACCCAUGAAUAUUGGUUUCUUUUAUUAAAAAAAACUAAAAACUAUGAACAGAUAAAUUAUUUUUCUUUCUGAUGUAAGAUGUCAACGUGUAGGAGAUAUUGUCACUAAUGAAGACUUGCCUGGAAAAGAACAAAAUGGAUCAAGGACAACAGAAGUUCAGGCUUCUUAAACCAGAAAAGAUCAUCACGGGGCCUCAGCUUUGCUCCAGAAAAGAAUCCGGUUAUACCAGCAUUCUCCAACGUCAAAGUUGCAAUAACAUGCUGUAACUUUGUGCCCACUAAAAGAACAAGCUGUAUAAAAAAUGAAAAGUAGUAAUAGAUCAACUGGUCAUCAACCAGAUAUAAGCUGCCACUUUUGAGGGAGAUAGAGAGAUGGCUCACAGUAACAGGAAUAGUUGCUAUCCAAAAGUAAAGGUUGGAGCCUGAAAGGUGGCAAAAGAGAUAAAAAAAAGAAAUGUCAGCUCAAUUUAUAGGGAAAAAACAGAUAGUUGCAGUUUAGUGUAGGAUUUAAAAAAACAAGGUGAAGGACAAUCAAUCAGCUCGGGUAAAUAAAUAAAACAGGAUAAUGGAGAAUUAGUGAAAAUGAAAAAAGCUUUGAUGAGAAAGAAAUUAUGAAUUUAUGAUAUUCCUAAAAGAGAUUCAUCAUACCUUUCACAUUAAACAGCAAAAAAGCUACGACAAAUCCCCAUAACGGACCACUGCAAAAAAAGUGAAUGAGAAAUUAGCUAUGUUAGUGAACGGACCUUCAGAAAUAUUGUGGCAGAAAUCACAUUUCUUUCAAUAUAUUCUAAAAUUUAAUUUCCUGAAUAAACAUCGAGAAUCGAAAAGAAGAGCACAGAAACUACUUUCUGGAUGCCUUCAAAAGUUCUCCUAUUUCACCCAAAGGGGAAACAAUUGAAACUAACACAAGAAAAAUUACUUUGUUUGAGGAUCCCUAUAAAAUGACAAUCCCAACAAAUAACAGAGGAGAAAUUUUCCUUCUUGUGACAAUAUGGUAACAAAGAGUAAUAACUGAACCUGAACUUCUUUGUCUUGAUAGCAAUGAUUAAGGAAAAAGGGCAGGACUACCACAUGCAUAAAGAUCCUAAAUUAAAAGUAACAGACACUUCAAUUACCUCACACCAACUAUUCUCUGGAAUUCUUCUUCCAUAGAACGAACCAUGUAGCUAUGGAAAUCAUAUUUUGACGAGAGGUUGUGAUUCUGCAAUUAAUAAGAUGUAGGAAAUCAAAUGAUGACUAAAAGAUCAUUAUUUUUAUCAUUAAUUGUUUAAUUAUUAGUGCUUAGCUGAAAAUUUGAGAAUGUUACAGUUCUAAAUUGCAAUGUAAAUGGUAAACACAUGAAAUAAAAUUAGCAAUCGAAACAAAAUAAUUUGCUUUUGCUAUUUGAAAAUCUAAAUUAAGAGCUGACAACAGAAAGAAAGAGAUGAAAGAAGAAAACAGAAGAAAAUUAUAACUGGAUGGCAAGGAAUAAAAGCCUAAAAUAUCAUAGAGCACUUAAACAUAUAAGUGUACCGUGAUGAAGCCUUUGCGAAGUGUAAGGUAGUCAGAACGAACAACAGAACGCCCAAAUUGCCUAAAGAAACAGGUCUACACUCAUAUAAUCAUGUCAAAGAAGUGUUAAUGUCGGUAUUUAUGUGAAUAGCAGUAUAACUUCAAUUAAACAGGAAGAAAAGGACUAAAAUACAUCAGGUGUAUAUGAAGGCCAAGUUCAAAGGAAAACACCUUCUUUUUCAAAUGACAGAGGGUUUCCACCAGAUUAGGAGGCAUACAUAAUCUUAAGGAACUACCAACAGAUUCUAAGACAUUUAAGAUUAGAAAUCACAUUAGACAUUAAUAUUUAAUUUUUAAAGAAAACAUGAAAUCAUAACUUCAAAAAGCGUUCGACGUCACAACUUGUUCUUUGAUCACUGGACUGACAAUUGACCAUAGUCAUUGACCAUCACUUCAAGAAAUCUAAUUCACAAUUUCAAUUGCUCUCACUGGAUAGUCAACAAUUUGUUGGUAACUCCAAACUAAUUAACCAGGAAUAUAAAACACAUCAUUUGAAUCAGAGGUUCAGAAUAGGGUAAAAAGGGUAUAUUGGGGUUCAGUAAGAACAGAUCAUAUGUAUACCAAAUUCAGUUGAUAUGUAGUUUUUAGCAUCAAAAUUUAAAGUAUGUCAAUAACUUCUCAUUGUUCUCUAUUAUAUAUACAAAAACAUAAGAUCAUUAAAAGAGGGGUUGCUGUUUGCCCGUUCCCUAUUCUCCAUCGAUUUUGUACGCUCAUUAAAGCGUAUACUUGGUCUGAAAACACCCAGUAUUUUUACUAAGUAGCCCUUGCAGAUAUACACGGCUGAAAUAAGAGUAGAUAUAACCAAAAUAGUGGUGGGUCUAUGAAUAGAUGCAGUCAUGCGGCAUUGUCUAAAUGAAAACAAGUUCAAAUGCUUACCAUCCAGAUAAGAAAGCUAUUCCUGGUUAAAGGAUUGGAGGUGUGAUAUUGUACAAAGGUAGAUUGUCUCUGCAUUAUCUUUUUUUUCGUUGUAUCUAUAAUAAUAGUAGAGAAAUAAUUGUCAGUUCACCAAAAAUAAUAAUCUGUACCGACAAGAGAAAGUGAAGAGUGGUCAUGCUAAAUACCAAAUUAUCAAUUACAAAUAACCACUACACAAAAAUGGUCUCUUGGAAAAGAGAGUUUCUGUUCAAGGAGGUUCCUUGUGGACUCCUGGUGUUACUUAGACUUCGGUAAAGAUAUGAGAGAAUUGCGAAUGCCGAAUAAUUACUUAAAUAAUAUAAGGACGUCAAUGUGGUAAGGACAAUCUAAGAAAGAUACUAACAAUUAAAUCUGAGCACCCAUUAGCACUAAGAACUACAAUCUAGUUUAUGAGCACAGCAAGAUGGUUUAUUGGGGAGAAAAAAUUGAAGUCCUUGAGAAUUUCUAUAAAAUAAAAAUCCUUCAGAAGUUCAGAUGCAAGAUAUCAUACAGUACAGGACUAAGAUGUGAAAGCUAGAAGACAAGAAUAGGAAGUAUUGUGGUCAAUGGACAGAAAUCUUUAAAAUAUUUGAACUGGAACCUGACAUUAUGGCUGGUGCUAUGGACUUGGCAUAUGGUUGGAGAUAUCAUCCAAAGUUUUGGGUUUGAACUCCCAGAUUGCUUGACAACUCUAAGAAAGCUAAAGUUACAUGCUAAAGAACCACACAUAAAAUUACCAUAGAGCUCACCGUUGAAUAAAUCAUGGUGGUCCAUGUGAGCUUCAUUUUCCCAUUCUCUCCAACUGUGGAUCUGGUCAAAUGAUAAAAUGUCAACCGUUAGAAUAAAUACUAAUAGUAAUAAUUUGUAUACAUCUUCUAUAAACUUUUAAAGAAAAAUGUAAAUAUUUUAUAUCAUAAUGGUGUACUAGUCAAGGACUCAAAUUGUUAACACACACACACAACUCUAGAGAUACACAAAUAGAUAUCGAAUUUAAUAUCGGAUAGGUCUAUUCAACUUUCACUUGGUAUGAAGCAAACUUAUGAGUGUUCAGUGCAUGCAAACAAACGGUACUAAGAUACACCUCUCUUUACAAAUAUAGAUAUCAGAAUGAUUCCUAUUAUUUUUUUUUCUAUUAUGUUUAAACAUCACACAUUAUGCUAACAGUUAAAAUUCUAUUCAGUGACAUAAUCAAGGUUAAAAGAAAUUGUUGCUAUCUCAAAUCAAACAGAGAACACAAAGUAAUAAUAAGACAAAAAUCAAUUUAGUCUCUAUGAUUGUAGAGAGUAGAGUUGAUGGUUUGAAUGAAGAAAACCGAUGAUUUAAACUAUUGAAAAAAACAAAAGUAAAUUAAACUAUCCCCAAAAUCCCGCUGUAUAACUUUCCUGAAACUGAUUAAUUUUUCAGCAAGGUUUAAUACAAAAUGACUAUGAAAAAAAUAUCAAACCUUCACAAUUGCCAACAACAUGGUUAAGCAACUAUAAGAAAUAUGAGUAACUGCCAUCACAAAGAUAAAGCGAUGCAAUUGCUCAAGUCCCUCAUAGGAAACAAAGGGCUCAUGACCCUGCACAAUGACGAAAGUUUCAAAUUUUAAUUGACUAUUGGGAUGGAAGAAGACAGUUUUCAUAACUAUAUUUUUUUUUUAAAAAAAAAGAAUAAUAACAAUCAUAACGUGCCUCUUUGCAUGUAUUUUUGUUCACAGUUAGCAUCCUCCUAUUCAAAUGUGGGAAAACAGAAACCAUAAAUAGCUUUCGCUUCUCAGAUGAAGAAUUAUCCGCAUUUUGUUCAUCAAUCUCCGACUGAGAGCACGGAAUAAAAGAUGUAUCAUAAAACUUGGAUGGAAUGCAGAUAUUUGAUAUUAGACUUGAUGUUGCCGUCAGAAGCAAAGAAAUAAAACCAAGCAGCAUUAACUCUGCAAAGGCAAACAAUGGCAGUUAUAAUGAGCAGAAUAAAUAUAUGACUAAAAUUAAAUAAGAAGCUAUGCUUGUCUAAGGUAAUUGAGCAUAUAACAUAGGCUAGUUACCUUCUUUCAUUUUCUCCACUGCCUCAAAUAAGGGUUUUCUAUGAGUUUUUCCCAGCCACUGAGAGAAAAAGUAACAAACACACGUAAUUAUUAGAACAAAAUCUGCAGUAGCUGUAGCACAACACAAUGUUUCAGGGAAAUAAUGUCUGAGUCUCUAAAGUACUUCUUAGCCAGAAUAUGUAUCUUUCAAAGACUAGAAUCUCAUGAGUACAAACUUGAGACUAAAAAAUUUCUGAAGUAUACUACUUUUGACCAAUUGACAUGCCAGAUACUUUGUGUAAAGCAUAAGAAGCAGUGAGAAAUAUACUUACAGAGCUUAGCCUAUGAAUGGAGCGUUCUACAAGCAAUGAAACUGCGACGAAAAUGGUCAACACGGAAGCAACAGACCAAGUAGGCGUCAGAGCCAGAGAUCUUCCCUCCUGGGAGGCAUUUUCAGCCAUUUCCGACAAAUCUCAAAGAUUACAACCUAAAAGAUAAACUCUCAAGUUUCCAGUCCUACACCAGUUUGAGUAGACGUUGCCAGAUUUACAGUGAAAGAAAGAAAAUAGAAGAGAGAAGAAAAUACUUAGUACCCAAGAUUAAAAGGGACAUAUUCCUAUGAGUUUAUAUAUCACGUAUUGAUAUAGCAAAAAAGAGUAUCAGUUGACAUUUAAGAUUUAAUAAGGCCUCGUGGAAGAGACGAUCACCAAUUUAAUUUUCCAGCCUUCUCCAAACAAUAUCAGAACAGGUCAAAUUUUCCCUCUGAAACAAACGUAAUAUAACCAACUGGACCCAGAAGGAACUCUAACAAAUCUUUUGCUUUUUUCCUUUAAAAGAAAAAAGGCAGACUUCCAGGCAUUCCAGUUUGAUAAAGUGAGAUUGGAAUACCCCACAAAUGAAACAGCUUCUUUGAACCUGAAAUCGUUCCAACAGAAAACAAAUUCUGAAAGAACAAAUCAUCAUGUUCUGAGGAAGCAAGAAGAACCCAUCGGUGAAUGCUUUUACUUAAUGAGACUGAAUCUAAUGUACUCAAAUUUCCUAAGAUCCCCUUGAAAUCUCACUGACAUUCCCAAUAAAAAUCCAGAAGCUGACUCUGAAAAGCCCCAUUCAGCUACUUGCUACUUCACCUUCAAAAGCAGAUGCAAAAGAGACAAAUCCAACUCAAAGUGACAGCCGAUUCCAAAAAGAAAACGACAUAUAUAAAUCAACGGCCAAAAGGGUUUGGAAAAAAGCCUCGGACUAAGGUUUAUUAUUAAUAGAUAAAUGACAACCCCAUGUGCACAAACUUCUUGGGGCUGACAAUGACGCAACUUCUUUAGUAUUAUUAACCCCCCACGGAAAAUGACUCAAGAAUAAAGCAGUGCAAUAUAUGAAGAAAAGGAACCAAAUAGGAAAGACCCAGAUGCCAUAAAUGCAAGAAAAGGCACACAGAAGCCAGGAGAGAUGCCAUGAAUGUGAUUAUGAUUGGCUUUGACAAAUGACAGUGUUAUUUUUUCUUGGCUUUCAUUUUCUCACGAUUCCGCAGAUUGAGGAGCCUGUAAAAUAUAAAAGAACCCUUUUUGUGAUUUGGGUAUGUGAAAAAGAUUAAAUAGAGAAGAGAAGAGGAAACUGUUCAACAUGAAUAUGUUUCCAAUAAUUAAGAGGAUACGAAUGCGAUGUGGAUGUGAUGGCUUUGAGGGCCAAUAAUUCUUGCUUCCCCGAUGCUGCAAUCAUAAAUUUGAUGUUGCCACAGUGCUUCAUCCCCAUCCCCACGCCUCACCAUGAAAUGUAAAUGAAAACAUAGAUACCAUAUUGAUAUCUAUCAAUAUUUUUGAAAAAAAUAAUAGAAACAGGAAAUUUAAAAUAGUAUUUAUAUUACAUUCGACUCAGUAGAUCAUUCUUCCUGUUUGAGACAGGUUGCAUUCGAAAUUUUUGUACGAAUGACCCCAUUUUGCAUAUCAUCGUAUUCUCAAACCAUGCUCGACAGCUUGCAACUGACGAAUUCUCGCUUCAAGUUUCUCAUCAGAUAAUUUUUCUUUGAUAUUUUCUCGUUCUCAUUCUAGCUCUCUAGUUUCUGAUCAGAAAAAAAAAAUAAUAAAAAAAAACAAGAAAGAAGAAUGCAAGAUUAAUAUUAUACAAUUUUAUUACAUUCUUUGGUUCAUUUCUCAGGUAGAGAUGGUUGUCAUGAUUGGUUAUGUGUUGUGUGAUUUUGAUCCUUGUUUAAGGGGUCUCAUUCUGCGAUAGUUUAGUACUGUGUUAAUUUUUUUAAGAAAGGUCAUUUGUUGAGACUUGAAAUUGAUAUUCUAAAUCUAGAGAGCAGUGGAUGGUUGAGGUUUGGUAGGGAUGAUUGUGUGACCCAACUCUCUUCCAGAUAAUUGCUACUUGUGAAGUCCUAAUUUUUUAUUUUGCAAAAUAAUAUUUCUAUCAAUACAAUUAGAAGUCCUAACUAACUGAAUUCAAUCAACCCUAUAAAGAAGUCCGCGGAAGUUUACUUUCCUCGUCUUCUGUCCUAUUCCAUUUUCUUCUCUAGCGACGACACUACAGGAAGAACAAGACCUCCUUCAAUGGCAGCAACUUCCUCAAGGUACGGAUUCAGAUCCCCCUGCCCGAGCGAGUCUGAUUAUUGAAUGCACUACGUGGUUUCAAGGCUUUUUGGAUGAAAAGGGGUUUGCGUCCGGUCCUCAAAUAAGAGAAAGAGUGGAAUGCGGCAUGAACCCUGUUUUCGAUAAGCUCACGGAGCGGUGAGAUCUCAAAAUCUUGAACAUUCAUUCUCGGCAAUUGGGGUUUCUAAGAAUGAGGUCUCUUGUUUUGAACUUGCUCUUCCUAACUUUUCUCUAGGUUUUGACAGCGAACGAUAAGAGAGAGAUAUAUACGAGCGUCUGAAUCAAUUUCUGCGACUGAUUUGAGCACAAGACAGAGUAAUAGCAAUCAACUAGUUGAAACUGAAGGUAAGUAACCAUUAAUUUCUUUGGUCUGACUUGACGACUCUUUCGGAAUGAAGCGUAAUUCUUUUCUCUUUGGUAAUACAUGAUGUAGGAUGAAUCCCAUUCAUGCGAAGUUUAGGGUGAACAAGUCAGGGGAGCAUGACAUGGAGCAACAAUACACAAGGGUAAACCACUGGUUUCUCAUAUCUUGUCAUUCUGAUGUAACUGAUUUUAAAAUGAUGAAAUUUUAUGAACGUUUUUGGUGGCUGCAUAAGAAGUUUCGGUGUCUUAAUAGCUUUGCUUCAUGGAAAAUUAUUAGGAUAAACUACGUAGGAUUAUACUAUGCAAAUAUAAAAUAAAUUGAUGAAAAAAUUUCAAAGUUGAUUUUUAGUGUUCAAACUUUGCAGUCAUGAAAAUAUUAUUUCAUAUUGUUCUAAACAACAAGAUGAUUGCUAAGAAGAAACAAGCUAAAACCAUUUCUAUUUUCAUACUUAGAGACUGUUGAUGUUCUCUUUGCAAAUGGAGAAGAUUUUGAUCUGAGACUGUGUUGUGAAAAUUGUAGACGGAAAUGGAGAUAUGAAGUUUGGGGUCAUCCAACAAGGCUAUGUUAGAAAAUUCACCACCUCGAUUGUGUGCAAACUAGUUCCCAAUGGAAUUGCAUUACUGUUGGUAGUGCCAAUAAGGUUAGGUUUCCUACUCCCCAAAUUUUUUCAAGACUUUCAGUAAAUGCUUUCUUUUUAUUAUAUCUUUGAUAUAUGAUUUGUUUUUACGUUCUUUGUGAAAUCAUGUUUUUAUUUUAAGGGUAAAUAAACAUGAGAGAGAGGUUGAGCAGGGAAUGAAGUUCUUUCCUUAAGGCUUAAUUGUUGUAGGUCGUUAAAAAUGGAGCAUUGAUUUCUAUUUAUUAUCCUUAUUAAGAAAACCCAAGCUAAUAGAUCAUCUUAAUGAAAGAAUACAAGAGAAAACACUCCAAAAGGUGGUCAAUUAUUAACCUUAAAAGAGGCUCUAAUACAGCAACAGAAGACAUAAAGGUUUCUCAUACAAAGUUAUGGUAUUAUUAACUUUAAAAGGGUCUAUAAUAAAGCAAAACAAGACUUUAAAGCUUUGCACAUUUCCCAUUAAAAAAUGUGAAAUCUAUCAUAUUCACACCUAAAACAAAAUCUCUAUAUAUCCCUCUAAAAUCUUAUUGCUAUUUUUUUCACCACAAACCCCAUUAACUUUUUUUUAUUGAAAAGUCCUAGCUAUUUUUUUGACAAUCAAGUAAAGUUUGGUUGAAAAAUUCAGAAAAUGGACAAAUUAAGAGAUUCAUAGGAUAAGAGAACUUUGGUUUAAUAUCUAAGAUUGGACUAUCAAACCUUUCCUUGGAUGAAAGUGUAGAUAUUUGGAUGCAAAGUUUAAGGUUGGAGAUUGGACAUCAAUAUUUGGAUUGAAGAGUCCUAGGCAUUGUUUGGAUUACAAUGUAGAAAUUAAAUGGUUGAAGAGUUCAUAAAUGGAUAAAUUAAGAGAUGCAUAAGAUAAGAGAACUUUGGUUUGAAGUUUGAGCUUGGAUUACAACCUUUUUUAUUGAGGAUACCUAGGAAUUCUUUUGACGAAUGUGUAGAAAUUGGAAGCAAAGUUAAGAAAAUUGACAAAUAAGGAGAAUUUUGGUAUGAGGUUGGAAAUUUUGGUUUAGUUGAGACAUACGGGUGAUCCUCUUGAUCCAACAUUUAGCUUCUUUAUUAUUGUUCUCAUUGUAUAACUCUCUUGUAUACUUUGAUUUUUAUUCUAAUAAAGAAGUUUGUCUCCUUUCCACAAAAACUACAAAAUAUUAGGAUCGAAGAGACCUAGCAACACUUUGAUUAUGUAAAAACUUGGUUGAAGAUUUCAUAAAAUUAAAAAUUAAGAAUACAUAAUUAGAUCAUAAAUGUUGGUUUAAUUAAGUGUGAGGUUGAAGAUCAUUGGAAGUUAAGAAAAUGGACAAAUAAAUAGAGCUUUUGUUGAAGGUUAGAGAUUGGACUUCAACAUUUCAACAUUUGUAUUGAAGAGGCCUAGCCAUUCUCUGAUUAUAAAGCAAAAAUUUGGUUGAAGAGUUCAUAACAUGGUGUCAAGUUAAAAGAUACAUAAGAUUAGAGAAUUUUGGUUUAAAGUUUGAGAUUAAUUAGACUUCAACUUUAAUAUUGAAAACUACUAGACAUUUUUUGGAUGAAAAAAGUAAAGUCAAGAGAUUUUUUUGUUUAAGGUUGGAGAUUGGACAUCCACAUUCGGAUUGAAGAGACCUGGCCAUUGGUUGGACUACAAUGUAAAAACUUAAUUGAAAUUAAGAGAUACAUAUAAUAAGAGAAUUUUGGUUUGAAGUGUGUGAAAUUGGACUAUUCUAUUUGAUUGAGGACACCUAGGAUUUCUUUGGAUGAAAGUUUAGUUUGAUAUUUGGAAGCAAAGAAAAUGGACAAAUAAGGAGUUUUGGUUGAAGGUGGAAGGUUGGAGAUUGAACUUCAACAUUUGUAUUGAAGAGGCCUAGUCAUUCUUUGAAUUAUUUAAUAAAAACUUGGUUGAAGAAAUACAUAAGAUAAGAGAAUUUUGGUUCGAAGUUUGAGAUUGGACUACUACUUUUUUAUUGAAGACACUUGGGAAUUUUUUGGGUGAAAGUGCAGAUAAUUGGAAACAAAGUUAAGAAAUUGACAAAUAAGGAGAAUUUUGGUUUAACGAUGGAGAUUUGAUUUCAACAUUUGCAUUGAAGAGACCUAGCUUGUAAAAACAUGGUUGAAAAUUUCAUAAAAUCGACAAAUUAAGAGAUACAUAUAUAAGAUACGAGAUGCUUGUUUUGAGUGUGAGAUUCGACUACACUAUUUGAUUGAUUACAUCUAUAGGAUUUAUGUGGACGAAAGUGUAGAUAAUUUUUUUUUUGUAAAGGUAUUGUAAUAAAUGCAGGGUGAGAAGUUGAACAUGGGAUCUCUUGUCCACAUGGACAUAUAGGUACCAGUUGAGCUAAGCUCAUGUUGGCAAGGUGUAGAUAAUUGGAAGUGAAGAAAAUGGACAAAUAAGGAGAGUUUUGGCUGAAGGUUUGAGAUUGAACUUCAACAUUUGUAUCCAAGAGGCCUAGUCAUUCUUUGGAUUAUAAAGUAAAAAUUUUGGUUGAAGAGCUCAUAAAAUGGUUAAGUUAAGAGAAACAUAAAAUUGGAAAAUUUUUGUUUAUAGUCUAAGGUUGGACUACAACGUUUUUUUAUUGAAGAAACCUAGACAUUCUAAAGAUGAAAAUGGCUAGAUUGAAUAUUAAAUUAAGAAUUUAAACAUGGCUAGAUUGAAUAUUAAAUUUGCACGUGUAAAGUUUUAAGCAGGAGUAACGAAUUGAGAAUAGUUUAUGCAUGACUAACUUAGUUUAAGAACUCUAGAAAUAAGAGAAUUUUGGUUACUAAGGAGAGGAUGAUGAAAGUUUUGUUGAAAUGUUGAAGUGCUGCUGGUUUAGCUACGCGAGAAAAGGCUUGCGAGAAAAAUGACUUCUUUAGUAAAGUUUUGUGAGUGAUUUUCUCUCAAAUAAAUUUAUGUUUAAAAUUUUAUUAUGAUUUCUCUUUAUUGAUUUGAAAGAAAAAUUCAAAUAAGAAUGAUUCAAAGAUGUUUCUAUGAAAAAGUUAUGUUUUCAAGCAUGAUUUAUAAUGUUAAAGCUUGAUUUAAUGAUUAUGAUUUUAAUACUAUAAAAUGGUUUUCAAACUAUUAGUUGUUUAUUUGAGAUGAUACUAACUUUUAUGUGUACAUAAAGAGUUGUUAAGGCCACCAUGGGUGUAUGAGCUACAUGGUGACAAGAAGCUGGCUUAUGCGUUGAAAUGAGCAUAUAAGGUUUAGCAGCCUGGGCAACAUGGACGAAUCUAUAUGUUUUUGGAUGUUGUUGAUACAACAAUUUAAACACGAGUUAAUGAGACUAAACGUAGAGAACGAUUCGAGAUCCUUGGCGAAAGAAAAUGAUUUGUUAAGCAUAAAAAAAGCUUUAUGUGAAAUAAAAUAAUUUGAUAUUUUUGCGAAAUGGUUAUGAAAAGAUAUUACAAAAGGUUUUCAUAAUACCUGAGUCAUUUGACUGACGUUUUCAAAAUUAAUCUUUUAAGAUCAUAAGUUUAGGCCAAGUAGAGAAGGAAGUGGAAGGUUUUGUGGCGAGAUGAGAAAGCUACGUCUGUUUAAGAGUUUACUUAAUGCAACUUUUGGUUAAGAAUCGUUUCUUUACCUUGUUUUACUUAACACCUAUUAUUAAUAAAGUGUAAGUUUUUGCUGAAUUUAUUGCGUUAAGUUUUUUGCAUUAAGAUUGUCUUUGAAUGUGUUUGGUGUUUGGUACGACUUCUGUGGUGUUAUGUUUUUCUUAGUCUUUAACAGGCUUUGAGUUUGAAUUACAGUCAGAGAAUUUCAAGAUUGUAACUAAAUUGCAUUCUAUUUCCUUUACUUUGACGUUUUGAUCGUAUUGCGGUUUGAGGUGUGACAAUUUGGUAUCAAAGCGAUAUGUUCUUCGAAAAAGCAUAAAUAAAUUUUAGAGAAGUAACGCCGGAACGAAAAAUGACUCAACUUAAGGCGCCAUAAUCAAGAAUAAGUAGUGAAGUAUAUAAAGAAAAGGAACUAAAUAAACUAAAUAGGAAAGACCCAGAUGUCAUAAAUGCAAGAAAUGGGUCAUAAAUGCAAGAAAAGGCACAGGAGAUGCCAUGAAUGUGAUUAUGAUUGCUUUGACAAAUGACUUUCCUUUCUUCUUGGUUUCCAUUUUCUCACGACUCCGCAGAUUGGGAACCAGUAAAAUAUAAAAGAAACCUUUUUUGUGAUUUGGGCAUGUGAAAAAGAUUAAAUAGGGAAGAGAAGAGGAAACUGUUCAACAUGAUUGUGUUUCCAAUAAUUAAGGGGAAAAUGAAUGCGAUGUGGAUGUGGAUGUGAUGGAUUUGAGGGCCAACAAUUGUUGCUUCCCCGUUGCUGCAAUCAUAAAUUUGAUGUUGCCACUGUGCUUCAUCCCCAUGCCUCACUCCGCGUUCCGCGUUUCCCCUCUAAACGACGUUUAAAAUGUUAACGGGGGUAGAAAUGUGGAUGUCCAUCAAUAUCGAAAUGUAAUAGCAACAAAAAAAUUUAGAAUAGUAUUUACAUUUACAUUCGUCUUAGUGUUGGUAGACUAUUCUUCGUGUUCGAAACGGGUUACAUUCUUUGGUUCCUUUCUCCCAUAGAGAUGGUUGUCAUUGUCCCUUGCGUGUUUGAUCCUUGUUAUCUUUAUUUAUGUCGAAUAGUUUUUUUUUCAUGACUUCCAUGCACAUUAAUGAGACUUGAAAUUGAUAUUCUAACUCAAGAGACCGUGGCUUAGGUUUGGUAGGGAUGAUAGUGUGACCCAACUCUAAGCAUCAUGUGUAACUUGGACUAACCAUGUUUGGUUUGAGGGUAAUAAUAUUUCUAGAUAUUUUUAUUUUUUAACUUGUUCGGAACUCUGUAUAAACAUGUGACUGUUUCACUCAGUAAUUCUGAUAUAAUUUAUAUAUUUAAUGACAAUGGAUCAUCUCUUCUUUAAUUGGUGGUUAUCUAAGGGACGUACUCUUGCGCAAAAUCGGUCAUUGGAAUGUAGAGUUCAAUUGAAUUUAUCACUUUAAUACGGGUAUUCGUUUGAAGCAUAAUGGUAUGGAGAGUCACUUGGUGUAUUGUCCAUGCAACUACAUUUGUGUUUUGAUUGCGCUUCAACCUCACAAUUCAUUUUAUUGCCGUUUAUUAUUUUGUAAAAUAAAUAAUAUUUAAACUAGUAAAGUAAUAAUUUGCAUUAUUCAAAUAAGGAUGAAGAUUCAAAUUUUAUAAUUUUUUUUCUAGAGAGAAUCGAAUAUCUUAAUUAAUUGAAUUGUAUUUAUAUUAAAUAAUUAAUUAAAAGAAGACUUUUAACUUCAACAUAUUAUAAUUAGUUUAUAAGCACGACAAUUGGUUAAUAUGUAUAUAGUUAGUUUAUGUAACAGUUCUUCACAAUGACAUAAACAAAUAAUUAAGUAAAAUUAGCUUUUUGUUUUUUCCUCUUUGAAUUGUUGGCAAAUUUUGAUGUGCCAAUCACUAUGUUGAUUCAAAAUUCCUUACCUAACAUAACGUCAAGAUUUAGUUAAGAAAAUCAAUGCCCAAAUUCCAUUGUUGGACUUUUAGGAAAUUCUUAUUUUUCUUGUAUCUUAAGCUAAAGUGACGUUGAACUCUUCAAACAAUGCUUAGCCACUAAGGAAUAUGACAAAUACUUUGGUUUGAAAAACUCAUGAAAAUGAAUAAUGACACAUAAUUUCAAAGACUUGAAAAUGAAUAAUGAUGCUAAAAGUAUUUAUUGAUUCAAAAGUCAAAUCAUUAUGAAAGAGAGAACCCAUUUGAAAUUAAUGCAUUAAAUAUAUAAUAUUUUAAUAAUUCAAAAUUAUUAUUCAUUAAAAGUAUAGAAUUUAUAAUCGAGAAUAGGUGAUUUUUAGAAUCACUCCUAAAUAUUAGGAAGAAAAAUUGUUGUUUUAACGCAAAAAACUUUUCUUACAAAACUAACGCAAAACUAUUUUUUCAGUUUUCUUAUACAAUUUUCUCGAUUUUAAGUAGAAGGAUCCAUCUAAUGAAUUGUCCACGAUCCAUUUUCUUCUCAUGAACUCAUUUUUCUUAAAUCUCUUGCCCUUUUCAUCAUGGAAAGAUUGGUCCAACUUAAUAUGAAAAUGCUUGAUAGACUAAGGAGAGAACGUUGAUCUCGUUUCUUCCUCUUGCUUCUCACUUCUCAUGUUGAUUUUUUUCCCUUAUCGAUUAUGUUUCACGCUCCCUUUAGAUUCUCUCUUACUUCUUUGGUUUUGUUCUAUUUUCUUGAUCAUAGAGAAGAACGUAGAAGAAGAACACAUAUGUAAAUUGAUUAUUUCAAACAAAAUUGGAAAUCAAGAACAUGAAUGAAGUAACUAAAGAAAUAUAUAAGUGGAGGAGGUUGGUAUGGUGAAUAUCUUAGUGAAAGAAGAAAGAAAACAAACAAGAAGAAACGACGAAAAAACAAGUGAAGAAGAAGAAAUGAAAUAACCAAAAGACAAAAAAGAAAAACGUUUUCAUUUGGUCUCCCAUCUCAUUCCUUUCCCAACACUUCUCCUAAUCUUAGUUCUUAAAUAAUGGGGAAAAAAAAUGUUGCAUCAUUAGAAUCUUUUUAUAUAUAAAUGAUUUUAUAAAAUGAAUGUCAAAGAUUUGAAGAAAAAAACAAAAUAUAUUUGAUGCGAAAUUGAAGUACUAAAAAAAAAAAAA
rnacentral:lncRNA from 1 species